CCUACGGGUGGCAGCAGUAGGGAAUUUUCGUCAAUGGGCGCAAGCCUGAACGAGCGAUGCCGCGUGAGUGAAGAAGGCCUUCGGGUCGUAAAGCUCUGUUGCGGGGGCAAAAAGGCAGCAUCAGGAAAUGGGUGAUGACUGAUGGUGCCCCGCCAGAAAGUCACGGCAAAUUACGUGACAGCAGCCGCGGUAAGCCGUAGGUGGCGAGCGUUUUCCGGAAUGAUUGGGGGUAAAGGUUGCGCGGGCGGUCCUGCAAGUCUGGAGUGAAACGAAUGAGCUCAAACCAUGCAUGGCUUUGGAAACUGGAGGACUGGAGAGCAGGAGAGGUCGGUGGAACUCCAUGUGUAGCGGUAAAAUGCGUAGAUAUAUGGAAGAACACCAGUGGCGAAGGAGGCCGCCUGGCCUGUUGCUGACGCUGAGGCACGAAAGCGUGGGGAGCAAAUAGGAUUAGAUACCCGUGUAGUC
rnacentral:rRNA from 1 species